rnacentral:rRNA from 1 species
CCUACGGGAGGCAGCAGUGGGGAAUAUUGCACAAUGGGGGAAACCCUGAUGCAGCGAUGCCGCGUGGAGGAAGAAGGUUUUCGGAUUGUAAACUCCUUUUAUCAGGGGCGCUAAUGCCGGUACGUGAAGAAAAAGCUCCGGCUAACUACGUACAAGCAGCCGCGGUAAUACGUAGGGAGCGCGCGUUGUUCGGAAUUACUGGGUGGAAAGGGUGCGUUGGUGGGACGGCAAGGCAGAUGGGAAAACUGAGGGCUCAACUUUCAGACUGCAUUUGACACUGCUGUUCUUGAGUGAGAUAGAGGUAAGCGGAAUGCCUAGUGUAGCGGUGAAAUGCGUAGAUAUUAGGAGGAACAGCGGUUGCGAAGGCGGCUUACUGGGGUUAUACUGACGCUGAGGCUCGAAAGCGUGGGGAGCAAACAGGAUUAGAUACCCGAGUAGUC